GCUGGGCGUGGUGGCGGGUGCCUGUAAUCCCAGCUACUCAGGAGGCUGAGGCAGGAGAAUCACUUGAACCCGGGAGGCAGAGGUUGCAGUGAGCCAAGAUAGCGCCACUGCACUCCAGCCUGGGCGACAGAGUGAGACUCUGUCUCAA
rnacentral:SRP_RNA from 1 species